rnacentral:rRNA from 1 species
UACAGGGGGUGCAAACGUUGCUCGGAAUUAUUGGGCGUAAAGCGCGCGUAGGCGGCUACUUAAGUCGGAUGUGAAAGCCCUUGGCUCAACUGAGGAAGUGCACCCGAAACUGAGUGGCUUGAGUACCAAAGAGGGUCGCGGAAUUCCCGGUGUAGAGGUGAAAUUCGUAGAUAUCGGGAGGAACACCGGUGGCGAAGGCGGCGACCUGGGUGGAUACUGACGCUGAGGCGCGAAAGCGUGGGGAGCAAACGGG